UGUUGAAGUUGUUCUGCACAACUCUGCUCCCUCUCUCUCGCGUGGCCUCCAUUACGCAACUCUGCUCUCUCUGUGGCGUCGAAGCCCUAGCUUUCUCUCUUUGUCCCCUCUAUAGCGCGAAAAAAGCUCUCCCUCAUUGAAAUCUCUCUCUCAAACCUACAGAUUCACUUUUGCUCCCUCAAUGUUGGUCUCUAUUUGCCAGCGACGACACACAGAGAAAGAGACCCUAUCUAUACUGGGCAUAUGCAAGAGCAGCACCUUCGGCAACUGCUAUGUGGAAUUAUUCAGUGGAUUGAUCCUCCUGAUGCCAUCUCAAAAACAAUCGAUUGUGGAAAAAGUGAAAGUGAGAUGCUUGAUGGUUGCCAUGCACUUCUGUUAAUAACAACGGUAACUAAUCCCUUUGUGUUUAACCAACUUUUGAAAUCUAUACUAUCAGCUUUGCAAUAUUCUCUUGUGGCCCUUCAAUAUAUAUCUUUAAUUUAAUGUUUUUUGUUAAUUACAGUUGCAUUCACAUUACAAUGUCCUUUUAUGACAUAUUUAUUUUGUUCACAAUUUUACAUAAGUUGACUCUUUACCUUCAUGUUCAGCCCUUUUGGCACUCUUAGCCUGUUGUCUGGCUUGAUGUGUGAAGUUAUAAAAGUUCUUAUGGUAAAAUACACUGAAGAGGAGACAUGGAGUUGGGUGGCAUGUGAUACUUUAUUAGAUACCUGGACGGCACUUCUUGUGUUAUAUGUUCCAUUAUUUACUUUUUCAGUAUCUUGUCACAUGUGCAUGCAAUUCUGAAAACACUCUCAUUCUUUCAUUUAUCAGUAUAUUUGGAAAGAAACGUUGGGCAAUUUGAUGGUUAUUUUCUUCCAAAUCCUCAUUCUGCGUUAGAAGCAUUGUUAUUAUAGGUAAAUAUUAUCAAGUAUUAUUGGUGUAAGAUGAGGUUUGAAAAAUAUGAUAGUUGCUUUAUUAAGUACAUUUUUCUUCCUCUACUAGUCUAAUAGCAGCUCAUAAACUUAAAGUUUUGCCAUUCAUCCACAACUAUUGUGUAUUACUGGUCAAAAUAUAUUACUUCCACCAGAAGGGAUAAAUGCGGUAGCCAAUCUCUUUGCCUUGAUUGUAGAGUCUGAAUUAAAGGGUAACUAUGAUGUUUAUACUCUAUUUUGCUUUUCUUUUACUUAUUUAAUGAUUAUUAUUGGUAACUCUGAUGUUUAUUUUGGUAAAAAAAAAUAUAUAAUUUGUGGAAUUUCAAAAAUGUAAAUGUAAUGAGUAUUAAUGUCAAAUAGCUAAGGUUGUAUUGUAAUUAAUAGCCUUUUAACUUUCUGAUAUAUAGAUUAGGACCAUUCUUGAAUAAACACAGAGUGACAUUUGGGAAUAGAUCAUCUUCCUAUUGUAUACUGUAAGAUAGACAUACUUCUAUAAAUAAACUUUGAGAAUGAAGGGCAGAUUCAGAACAAUUCGUGUUCCCUUUUUAUGCUUUUAUCUUCCUUAAUCAGGUCUUUAGAACCUUUUAUUUGGGAUAAGCCCUAAUUGAAAGAUCUAAUUUUUUUAUUUUCUUUGUCUUACUAUACAAUUUUCUUAGUAUUUAUUUUUUUGUUGUCAUCCUUGUAUUAGCGUGUGUUUUGCUGCCUCAUAUUUGGUCCAACAAAGUGUAGUUGAUGUCAUAGUCAACUCAACUUCACUCCAUAACUCCUGCUCCCACCUUUUUGUUGCCUUGUGUUUUUGAACAUAUAGGAACCUAUAAAACAAUUGAGUGAUGUUAUAUAGUAUUAUUUAAUGAAAUAUUUCCUGUUAUAUAUGUGCUUUAGUUUGAUGAACUUUUGGCAUAAUAAAAAAUAAUAUUGCAAGUGGACUUGUGUAUUUAUGAAAUAAGUUUAAGUUUACUCAACUAGCUUUAUUGUUUAAUUUUACAUAUGUAAGAAAACUCUUAGUACUUCUUUCCAGAAAAAGAAUUGUUUGUACUUUUGUCUACUUGGCAAUUGCUUCAACAUUAUACAAUACAAAGUUAUCUUGGAGCCUUCAUUUAUAUUUUUCUUUGCUGGUCCCUUCAGUUCUUAAUGUUUAAGGUCUGUUUAUAUUUCACUUAAAUUUGAUCUUGUUACAUAUUUUUUUUUUUUUUUUUUAAAUCUGGAUCAAAAUUUAUUGUUUGUAUGAGUCACAUUAUUGGCAGUUUUUGGAGUACCAGCACAUUUACAAUUUACCUUAUGAAAUUUUUUAUAUGAUCCAUAUAUUUGAUCCAUCUUUUUGUGUAUCUUAUCUUUCUUCUCAAUGAGACCAGAUUUAUAUAGCAAAAAUGGAUUGUUGCAGUUCUUUUCAUGGUACAGUUCUUGUCUACGCCAGCGAGUCAUGAAGCAUGAGCUAUCUUUUAGCAGUGUUCUUGGACCCAAUGUUAUUUACAACUCCAAGAACCAAGGUGAUUCAGGUUCCGGUGGACACUUGCAUAUGUUGUCUACAUCAGUUCUUCAUCGACCUGAGCGACCUGAUCAACCUGAAUGCCGAUAUUUCAUUAGCAUUGGGAGCUGCAAAUAUGGAUCUGAUUGCAAGUACAAUCAUCUUAUGAAGAGAAGCUCAGCUAUUCAUCUUUCAGCGAUAGUCAGCACCAUUGCCACAACCACCUGAAUGACCAAUUUGAUUGUCUUCUCUUUAGUGAAUUGAAUAUUAAAGACAUUUAAGCAGUCUUGCUGAAUAUUUAGUUAAUACUGUGUAAUCUUCUUGGUUAUUGGAUUAUUUGAGUUGGUAUGUUUUGUUGAAUAUUUGGCUAAUUGUAUUGUGUUGUAAACAUUAUAUUGUGAUAAUGGUUUAUUUUGUUAUAAAAAAAAAUAAAAAUAAAAAUAAAAACACAAAAUCUAGCACAGCCAAUAAUAAUAAUAAUAAAUUAAUUAAUAAAUAAAUAAAGCAUUAGGUACAGUUUCUGAGUUUCCUAAAUGUCACAAAUAUAAUAAAAAAUUAAAAAAAUAAAGCAUUAGGGACAAUAUUAUUUGGGACAGUAAGUCCGUUUCUAAAGGUUGAGCUUUUUGGUGACAAUCAAUUUUUUUUCGUCCCUAAAAA